UACGGAGGGUGCAAGCGUUAUCCGGAUUUACUGGGUUUAAAGGGUGCGUAGGUGGGCGAGAAAGUCAGUGGUGAAAUCUCCGGGCUCAACCCGGAAACUGCCAUUGAUACUAUCAGUCUUGAAUCUUGUUGAGGUAGGCGGAAUAUAUCAUGUAGCGGUGAAAUGCUUAGAUAUGAUAUAGAACACCGAUUGCGAAGGCAGCUUACUAAAACAAGCAUUUGACGCUGAGGCACGAAAAGCGUGGGGGAUCAAAACAGG
rnacentral:rRNA from 1 species